rnacentral:rRNA from 1 species
CCUACGGGAGGCAGCAGUAGGGAAUAUUGCUCAAUGGGGGAAACCCUGAAGCAGCGACGCCGCGUGAGGGAUGAAGGUUUUCGGAUUGUAAACUCCUUUUGUUAGAGAAGAUAAUGACGGUAUCUAACGAAUAAGCACCGGCUAACUACGUGCCAGCAGCCGCGGUAAUACGGAGGGUGCAAGCGUUACUCGGAGUCACUGGGCGUAAAGAGCGCGUAGGCGGGAUAGCAAGUCAGAUGUGAAAUCCUCUGGCUUAACCAUAGAAUUGCAUUUGAAACUGUUAUUCUAGAGUACGGGAGAGGUAGGUGGAAUUCGUGGUGUAGGGGUAAAAUGCGUAGAGAUCAAGAGGAACACCGAUUGCGAAGGCGGCCUGCUAGAACAUAACUGACGCUGAUGCGCGAAAGCGUGGGGAGCAAACAGGAUUAGAUACCCGGGUAGUC